GAUGAAGAACGUAGCGAAAUGCGAUAAGUAAUGUGAAUUGCAGAAUUCAGUGAAUCAUCGAAUCUUUGAACGCACAUUGCGCCCAUUAGUAUUCUAGUGGGCAUGCCUGUUCGAGCGUCAUUUCAACCCUUAAGCCUAGCUUAGUAUUGGGAAUCGACUUUACUGUCGUUCCUCAAAUUCAACGGCGGAUUUAUAGCAAUCUCUGAACGUAGUAAUUUUUUUCCUCGUUUUUGAAAUACUAUAAACCUCAGCCGCUAAACCCCCAGUUUUUCUAUGGUUGACCUCGGAUCAGGUAGGAAUACCCGCUGAACUUAAGCAUAUCAAUAAGCGGAGGA
rnacentral:misc_RNA from 1 species